AACGAACGCUGGCGGCAUGCCUAACACAUGCAAGUCGAACGGAUGGUUUCGGCCAUCAGUGGCGCACGGGUGAGUAACGCGUGGGAAUCUGCCCAGCAGUGGGGGAUAACCUCUGGAAACGGAGGCUAAUACCGCAUACGCCCCUCGGGGGAAAGGCUUGCUGCUGCUGGAGGAGCCCGCGUCGGAUUAGGUAGUUGGUGGGGUAACGGCCUACCGAGCCUGUGAUCCGUAGCUGGUCUGAGAGGAUGAUCAGCCACACUGGGACUGAGACACGGCCCAGACUCCUACGGGAGGCAGCAGUGGGGAAUUUUGGACAAUGGGCGCAAGCCUGAUCCAGCCAUGCCGCGUGCAGGAUGAAGGCCUUCGGUUGUAAACUGCUUUUGUACGGAACGAAAGACUCUUCUAAUAAAGAGGUCCGAUGACGGUACCGUAAGAAUAAGCACCGGCUAACUACGUG
rnacentral:rRNA from 1 species